rnacentral:rRNA from 1 species
CAAUAGCGUAUAUUAAAGUUGUUGCAGUUAAAAAGCUCGUAGUCGGAUUUCUGGUUGAAGCGACCGGUCGGGCGUUGAUUCGUCUGCACUGGAGUCGGUUUUGGCCAUCCUCUAGGAAAGUGCGUCUGGUAUUAAGUUAUCGGGCGUAUGAUCCUGGUCUUUUACUGUGAAAAAAUUAGAGUGUUUAAAGCAGGCCUUCGCCUUGAAUACAUUAGCAUGGAAUAAUAAGAUAGGACUUUGGUCUAUUUUGUUGGUUUGCAGACCGAAGUAAUGAUUAAUAGGGAUAGUUGGGGGUAUUUAUAUUCCGAUGUCAGAGGUGAAAUUCUUAGAUUUUCGGAAGAUAAACUUAUGCGAAAGCAUUUACCAAGGAUGUUUUCAUUAA